GACGAACUCUGGCGGCGUGCUUAACACAUGCAAGUCGAACGGUAAGGCUCCAGCUUGCUGGGGUACACGAGUGGCGAACGGGUGAGUAACACGUGGGUGACCUGCCCUGCACUUCGGGAUAAGCCUGGGAAACUGGGUCUAAUACCGGAUAGGACCGCACCGUGAGGGUGUGGUGGAAAGUUUUUUCGGUGUGGGAUGGGCCCGCGGCCUAUCAGCUUGUUGGUGGGGUAAUGGCCUACCAAGGCGGCGACGGGUAGCCGGCCUGAGAGGGUGGACGGCCACAUUGGGACUGAGACACGGCCCAGACUCCUACGGGAGGCAGCAGUGGGGAAUAUUGCACAAUGGGCGGAAGCCUGAUGCAGCGACGCCGCGUGGGGGAUGACGGCCUUCGGGUUGUAAACUCCUUUCACCAUCGACGAAGGGUUUCUGACGGUAGAUGGAGAAGAAGCACCGGCUAACUACGUGCCAGCAGCCGCGGUAAUACGUAGGGUGCGAGCGUUGUCCGGAAUUACUGGGCGUAAAGAGCUCGUAGGUGGUUUGUCGCGUCGUCUGUGAAAUUCCGGGGCUUAACUCCGGGCGUGCAGGCGAUACGGGCAUAACUUGAGUACUGUAGGGGAGACUGGAAUUCCUGGUGUAGCGGUGAAAUGCGCAGAUAUCAGGAGGAACACCGGUGGCGAAGGCGGGUCUCUGGGCAGUAACUGACGCUGAGGAGCGAAAGCAUGGGGAGCGAACAGGAUUAGAUACCCUGGUAGUCCAUGCCGUAAACGGUGGGCGCUAGGUGUGGGUUUCCUUCCACGGGAUCCGUGCCGUAGCUAACGCAUUAAGCGCCCCGCCUGGGGAGUACGGCCGCAAGGCUAAAACUCAAAGGAAUUGACGGGGGCCCGCACAAGCGGCGGAGCAUGUGGAUUAAUUCGAUGCAACGCGAAGAACCUUACCUGGGCUUGACAUAUACAGGAUCGCGCCAGAGAUGGUGUUUCCCUUGUGGCUUGUAUACAGGUGGUGCAUGGUUGUCGUCAGCUCGUGUCGUGAGAUGUUGGGUUAAGUCCCGCAACGAGCGCAACCCUUGUCUUAUGUUGCCAGCACGUUGUGGUGGGGACUCGUAAGAAACUGCCGGGGUUAACUCGGAGGAAGGUGGGGAUGACGUCAAAUCAUCAUGCCCCUUAUGUCCAGGGCUUCACACAUGCUACAAUGGUCGGUACAGUGGGUUGCCAGCCCGUGAGGGCGAGCUAAUCCCGCAAAGCCGGUCUCAGUUCGGAUCGGGGUCUGCAACUCGACCCCGUGAAGUCGGAGUCGCUAGUAAUCGCAGAUCAGCAACGCUGCGGUGAAUACGUUCCCGGGGCU
rnacentral:rRNA from 1 species